rnacentral:rRNA from 1 species
UACGUAGGGACCGAGCGUUGUCCGGAAUCAUUGGGCGUAAAGAGCGUGUAGGCGGCUAUUUAAGUCCUGCGUGAAAUCCUGCGGCUCAACCGCAGACGGUCGUGGGAAACUGGAUGGCUAGAGUGCGGGAGAGGAGAGUGGAAUUCCCGGUGUAGCGGUGAAAUGCGCAGAUAUCGGGAAGAACACCCGUGGCGAAGGCGGCUCUCUGGAACGCAACUGACGCUGAGGCGCGAAAGCUAGGGGAGCAAACAGG